AAGCUUUCUCCUCCUGUACAGGGACGCACAUCCAGCUUUAUUCGUUGUCCGACACUGACUGACUCCCUCACACUCUCUUAGCUGUACUCUAGGAUACCACAACUGGUUCAUCUUCAUCGAGCAUAUAUAAACCAAAAUGGUUUGCAUACAGAGCAAUGCAUUUUAUGCAUCAUGUAAAGGAAACUGCAUCAACAAUGGACACCCUCUUUCGGACUAUUCAAACUGCAUAACUGUAAGUAAUGGAAAACUAAGGUAACGGUCAGAGACUCGCCAUAUGCUUUUGUAUGGGUAUUGAAGUUUAUAAUGCCGCAAAUACAUCACGCGCGUUUCCCUGGGCACGUCCAAAUGCGUAUAACUGUUCCGUAGAGGUAUCUCUGCGUUUCCGAGUUUUCGCGAUCGAAUGAUAUUCCAUUUCUAUGGAUGGAUCGUUAUAUGCGGGCGCGGAAACGCGCGUAAUAUAUUUACGGCCUAACAGCAUUUGCUAAUUUGCCGCAUCGCCGCUUGCAAUUUUAUUCCAAAUGUUUCAAAUAAUAUUAAAUAAUGAUUAUCCUUGUCAACAAACAACAAUAUCUCAUAUAAAUACCCCAAACAAGUAGAAAAUUGAGAAAACUAAUUUCUUGCUACUUGCGGCGAUUCUCUGACCAUUACCUAUCCACAAACCCAUCGAAUCGUCAAUUCCGUAUAUGUUUGACAGGAGUUCGACAGAUAUCCUUCUGAAGAUUGGCUAAAGCAGAGAAACGAUGGGAAGGAACUGGCCAUCAUCAUCAUCAUCAUCAAACCCUUUUACAUCACACCAAGAGACUUCAGACAUAGAAAUACCUAUAUUUCUGGAUCCAAAUUCUC